CCUACGGGUGGCUGCAGUGAGGAAUAUUGGUCAAUGGACGAGAGUCUGAACCAGCCAAGUAGCGUGAAGGAUGACUGCCCUAUGGGUUGUAAACUUCUUUUAUAUGGGAAUAAAAUGUUCCACGUGUGGGAUUUUGUAUGUACCCUAUGCAUAAGGAUCGGCUAACUCCGUGCCAGCAGCCGCGGUAAUACGGAGUAUCCGAGCGUUAUCCGGAUUUAUUGGGUUUAAAGGGAGCGUAGGUGGAUUGUUAAGUCAGUUGUGAAAGUUUGCGGCUCAACCGUAAAAUUGCAGUUGAAACUGGCAGUCUUGAGUACAGUAGAGGUGGGCGGAAUUCGUGGUGUAGCGGUGAAAUGCUUAGAUAUCACGAAGAACUCCGAUUGCGAAGGCAGUUCACUGGACUGCAACUGACACUGAGGCUCGGAAGUGUGGGUAUCAAACAGGAUUAGAUACCCGGGUAGUC
rnacentral:rRNA from 1 species